rnacentral:lncRNA from 1 species
CCUGGUGGUACACGUCCCCAACCUUAUGUGGAUUUCCUAAAUUCUGCAAAAAAGGUUUGGAAGCUGAUCUAUCAAUACUGGAACUCCCUCUUCUCCAGAAGAGACAUCCUGGCCUCCAUGCAGAGGAAUGUGUGGAUGGACAUAUAUUUAAGGAAGACACUAAACCAGAAACUACUACAUUACACCCUCUUAGAAGACUUCUAAGAUUGUUGUCAUGCCUACCACAGACAUUCAGAUGAUGUGUAUUGUUGAUUGUGAUUUCAUGUUUGGACCUGAUGAAGGAGUUUGAAGUCUCCAGAGCAGCAAAGAGAGUGGGGAGUAGAACUAUUCAUCUUUAGGUCACUCAUCAUCG